rnacentral:rRNA from 1 species
ACGGAAGGCAGCAGUGAGGGAUAUUGCACAAUGGGGGAAACCCUGAUGCAGCGACGCCGCGUGAGUGAAGAAGUAUUUCGGUAUGUAAAGCUCUAUCAGCAGGGAAGAAAAUGACGGUACCUGACUAAGAAGCCCCGGCUAACUACGUGCCAGCAGCCGCGGUAAUACGUAGGGGGCAAGCGUUAUCCGGACUUACUGGGUGUAAAGGGAGCGUAGACGGCAUGGCAAGUCUGAAGUGAAAGCUCGGGGCUCAACCCCGGAACUGCUUUGGAAACUGUCAAGCUAGAGUAUCGGAGAGGUAAGCGGAAUUCCUAGUGUAGCGGUGAAAUGCGUAGAUAUUAGGAGGAACACCAGUGGCGAAGGCGGCUUACUGGACUGUAACUGACGUUGAGGCUCGAAAGCGUGGGGAGCAAACAGGAUUAGAUACCCUGGUA